rnacentral:rRNA from 1 species
CCUACGGGUGGCAGCAGUGGGGAAUAUUGCGCAAUGGGCGAAAGCCUGACGCAGCGACGCCGCGUGAGGGAUGAAGGUCUUCGGAUCGUAAACCUCUGUCAGCAGGGAAGAACGGUCACUGUGCUAAUCAGCAGUGAAUUGACGGUACCUGCAAAGGAAGCACCGGCUAACUCCGUGCCAGCAGCCGCGGUAAUACGGAGGGUGCGAGCGUUAAUCGGAAUUACUGGGCGUAAAGCGCUCGUAGGCGGUAUGUCAAGUCAAGGGUGAAAUCCCCGGGCUCAACGUGGGAACUGCCUUUGAAACUGGCAAACUGGAGUGUGUUAGAGGAUGGUGGAAUUCCAGGUGUAGGAGUGAAAUCCGUAGAUAUCUGGAGGAACAUCAGUGGCGAAGGCGACUAUCUGGAACAUAACUGACGCUGAGGAGCGAAAGCGUGGGUAGCAAACAGGAUUAGAUACCCUUGUAGUC